rnacentral:rRNA from 1 species
GCGCAGCAGUCGCGAAACCUCCGCAAUACACGAAAGUGUGACGGGGCCAUCCCGAGUGCCGUCCGCUGAGGACGGCUUUUCCCCAGUGUACACAGCUGGGGGAAUAAGGAGAGGGCAAGCCUGGUGUCAGCCGCCGCGGUAAUACCAGCUCUCCGAGUGGUGGGGACGCUUAUUGGGCCUAAAGCAUCCGUAGCCGGCUGGGCAAGUCCUCCGUUAAAUCCAACGAUUCAAUCGUUGGGCUGCGGGGGAUACUGUCCAGCUUGGGGGCGGGAGAGGCCGACGGUAUUCCCGGGGUAGGGGUGAAAUCCUAUAAUCCCGGGAGGACCACCAGUGGCGAAGGCUGUCGGCUAGAACGCGCCCGACGGUGAGGGAUGAAAAGCUGGGGGAGCGAACCGGAUUAG